AGACCGCCCUUCGCAGGUCCCCGAGUGGCCGUCACACACCGCCCCGGGAGAUGAACUUCCUCCACACCUCUCUCUGCCUAGCAAGCUUCUGCUUAUCCUUUGAACCCAGCCCAAACCGCACCUCCUCUUUGAAGCUUUUCAUGCGUCUCUAGGCAACGAGGUGUGACCAUCUGUAGUAGUUAACAAUGUGAGCUUUGGAGCCAGGUUGCCUGCCUUCAAAUCCUGGCUUUGCCGUCUUCUUCGCUGUAUGGUCUUAGCCCACCCACCCAAGUCACUGGAUGGUCAUUUCUGGACUGAGUAGCUCGUGGUACCAGUGUGGUUGUCUGUAUCCCAAAGAAUGCCCAGGUUCUGGCAUCGCCUGCUCCUGUGACCUCCAAGGGAGCCAAUGCCUCUGGAAAAUGCAAAUCUGGAAGGAUUCAGUUUCCAAUGUCCAAUAACCAGGAAUUGGGUGCAGAAGAAUGAUACGGAAAUGUGUGCAUGAUAAACUAUGAAAUGAACAGAGCGUUUUGACUCAAGAUAUUUUCCAUUUUUACUAAAAAAACAAAACACAGAAGACAAAAUAAAAAUGUAUCAUGAUGACAUGCACACAAAGGAAGAGAAGAACCUAACCCAAAAUAUCAUUACUUCCAAGUGCUGGGACUGUAGGAGGAAUUUUGCUUUCUUCUGUUUGCUUGUAUUUAUUUUUGCAGUCUCUUAAAUAAACAAACAAGCAAAAAAAAAAAAAAACCACCAAAAACCCCACCCCA